rnacentral:lncRNA from 1 species
AUUACACUUGAGAGAUAGAAGAGAGGUGAGUCGAGAGAAGAGAAGAGAGAGAAGUUAAAACUUUCAUAUAUUGUAUCUUUCUGAAUGAAUACAAUCUUAUCUCAUCUAAGACUAUAUAUUCCUCUUUAUAAAACUUGCUGUCUAAGUCACACUAUAAUAACUCUAACAACCUUGCUAAUCUCUUGACAAGUGGCUUAUUAUAUCACCAUUAAUACUAUCCUUAAUACUAUCCUUAACAAAAACCACUUUCUGGGCAGUUUUGAGUACCUAACACUGGUUUGGACGAAUUUGGACUAUGACUUGACUCAAAACACUUAAAAACACAACUAAAUGGAUUUCUAACUAAUCUAACACUUUAAAAUAAAUGGGGGUGAUUUUGACGAAAUUAAAACUUUAAAA